rnacentral:lncRNA from 1 species
GGCCAAAGAUGAUGGUUUUCAUGGUUUUGUCGUGGCUGGAAGUGACGGAGUGAGGAGAAAAGGGGAACAGAGGGAUAAGGAAAGAAGCGAUGAUGGUAGGAGAGAGUUGCUUAGUCAGUGGAAUGUUUUAUGAGGUUGAUGGACUGGUGAAGUGGUAGUGAUCGGCGGUUGGGUUUAUAGAGAGAGGAUGAGAGAAGAGUGAGAGAAUGAGAUGGGAUGUUGUUUUGGUAAUGAGGGUU